CGUCUAUAUACGUAUAGCAUAUCAAUAAGCGGAGGAAAAGAAACUAACUAGGAUUCCCUCAGUAACGGCGAGUGAAGCGGGAAGAGCUCAAAUUUCGAAAUCUUCAAGGUUCUACCUUGACGAAUUGUAGUUUAAAGAAGUGUUUUCUGUUGGAGUUUUGGUAAAAGUUCUUUGGAAUAGGACAUCAUAGAGGGUGAGAAUCCCGUAUUUGACCAUUAUUUCCAGCUUUGUGAUACACUUUCAAAGAGUCGGAUUGUUUGGGAAUGCAGUCCAAAAUGGGUGGUAAAUUUCAUCUAAAACUAAAUAUUGGCGAGAGACCGAUAGCGAACAAGUACCGUGAGGGAAAGAUGAAAAGAACUUUGAAAAGAGAGUUAAACAGUACGUGAAAUUGUCAAAAGGGAAGCGUUUGACACCAGUGUUGUUUAGUUGAAAAUCAAUUCAAUAGUUUUUGAUUCUAAGUAGUAUUGACUUCAUCAGCUUGCUGCUUUCUUCUCAGAAAUUAUUGAAUGCACUUUUCAGUUAACAAGUCAACAUCAAUUUCUUUUGUUGUAAAAGGGUAAGAGGAAGGUGGCUUGCGCUUCGGCUCAAGUGUUUAUAGCCUUUUAUCUCUGCAAUCGGAGGGAUUGAGGUCUGCAGCGUAGAUCCUUCGGGGUUAGAUACAUUUGUGCUAAGUUAUAGCUUUUCAUAGACAACUUGUUGAUUAUGUUAAGUCUUGUAGCUUACUCGCUUAUGCUAUUUUACCUACGCUUAGGAUGUUGACACACGCGCGUGCUCG
rnacentral:rRNA from 1 species